rnacentral:rRNA from 1 species
AUUGAACGCUGGCGGCAGGCCUAACACAUGCAAGUCGAACGGUAACAGGAAGAAGCUUGCUUCUUUGCUGACGAGUGGCGGACGGGUGAGUAAUGUCUGGGAAACUGCCUGCUGGAGGGGGAUAACUACUGGAAACGGUAGCUAAUACCGCGUAACGUCGCAAGACCAAAGAGGGGGGCCUUCGGGCCUCUUGCCAUCGGAUGUGCCCAGCUGGGCUUAGCUAGUAGGUGGGGUAAGGGCUCCCCUAGGCGGCGAUGCCUCGGUGGUCUGAGAGGAUGAUCAGCGACACUGGAACUGAGACACGGUCCAGAGGACUACGGGAGGCAGCAGUGGGGAAUAUUGGACAAUGGGCGCAAGCCUGAUGCAGCCAGGCGGCGUGUAUGACGAAGGCCUUCGGGUUGUAAAGUACGUUCAGCGGGGAGGAAGCGAGUAAAGUUAAUACCUUGGCUCAUUGACGUUACUCGCAGAAGAAGCACCGGCUAACUACGUG